rnacentral:tRNA from 1 species
GCUCCUGUAACUCAGUGGGUCAGAGUGACGUCCUUAUAAGACGGAAGUCGCGGGUUCAAGUCCCGCCGGGAGCA